GCGCAGGGCGGAGCACUAAACACGGG
rnacentral:piRNA from 1 species